AAAACAUUUUUUGAGACUUUCAUAAUUUCAUUGUUUUUCCUUUCAGAUUUGCAUUCGGAUGGAGUGUGAUUUGUUCUUUAGUCUGACGCCGUCUGACCAACAUCGCCAGGAAGCCGUCGAGCCUCUUUUCAUUCCCGGGUGUGUUUGAUUUGCCUUUUUGCCUCCCAGGAGGGCGGGGUUUAGCAGUUAGUCCCGUAGCUCCGCCGUGUCACCUAGUUGUGUGUGUGUGCGCGUCCUCUUUUAUCUCGGCUCGUCUCUGGAAUAAGCCCAGUUCUGUAGUUCGUAAAUAUUUUGGAACCAAAACAAGCGUAGAAAGACGAGGUCGCUCACUUCCACGUCCCGCUGAGGAGGCCCUCAGCAGGGCCCUCAGGUGAGGCCCUCAGCAGGGCCCUCAGGUGAGGCCCUCACCUGAGCAAUGCAGAUGUUACUGCGCGCUGACGUUCGAUAUGUUUGAAAAGCAGAACUACAAGAAAUGAUCACAGAAAAUCAACCUGUGACACAUCGACGAAUGUAAUAAGUAGUAUUGAUAUUUGGUUUAAAGCAUAAACAUUGGUUUUGAUAAAUAAAUCUUUUAUUUAAGGAAUUGUGACCCAGACUUGGUGGAAAACUCUGACAUCACGCCUAUUUCUUCAUUUCUUGUUUCUUAUUGGUCAACAAAUACCAUGUCAGAACAUGGCAUGGUAUGAGAUGUCAGAACAUAAUUCUAUUUAAGAACAUGUCUCCAUUAAAGUUUGAGACAAAA